rnacentral:rRNA from 1 species
GACGAACGCUGGCGGCGUGCUUAACACAUGCAAGUCGAACGGAAAGGCCCUGCUUUUGUGGGGUUCUCGAGUGGCGAACGGGUGAGUAACACGUGAGUAACCUGCCCUUGACUUUGGGAUAACUUCAGGAAACUGGGGCUAAUACCGGAUAGGAGCUCCUGCUGCAUGGUGGGGGUUGGAAAGUUUCGGCGGUUGGGGCUGGACUCGCGGCUUAUCAGCUUGUUGGUGGGGUAGUGGCUUACCAAGGCUUUGACGGGUAGCCGGCCUGGGAGGGUGACCGGCCACAUUGGGACUGAGAUACGGCCCAGACUCCUACGGGAGGCAGCAGUGGGGAAUAUUGCACAAUGGGCGGAAGCCUGAUGCAGCAACGCCGCGUGCGGGAUGACGGCCUUCGGGUUGUAAACCGCUUUCGCCUGUGACGAAGCGUGAGUGACGGUAAUGGGUAAAGAAGCACCGGCUAACUACGUG